rnacentral:rRNA from 1 species
GAUGAACGCUGGCGGCGUGCCUAAUACAUGCAAGUCGAGCGAACAGACGAGGAGCUUGCUCCUCUGACGUUAGCGGCGGACGGGUGAGUAACACGUGGAUAACCUACCUAUAAGACUGGGAUAACUUCGGGAAACCGGAGCUAAUACCGGAUAAUAUAUUGAACCGCAUGGUUCAAUAGUGAAAGACGGUUUUGCUGUCACUUAUAGCUGGAUCCGCGCCGCAUUAGCUAGUUGGUAAGGUAACGGCUUACCAAGGCAACGAUGCGUAGCCGACCUGAGAGGGUGAUCGGCCACACUGGAACUGAGACACGGUCCAGACUCCUACGGGAGGCAGCAGUAGGGAAUCUUCCGCAAUGGGCGAAAGCCUGACGGAGCAACGCCGCGUGAGUGAUGAAGGUCUGCGGAUCGUAAAACUCUGUUAUUAGGGAAGAACAAAUGUGUAAGUAACUAUGCACGUCUUGACGGUACCUAAUCAGAAAGCCACGGCUAACUACGU